CUACGGGCUGCUCCAGUGGGGAAUAUUGGACAAUGGGCGCAAGCCUGAUCCAGCAAUGCCGCGUGAGUGAAGACGGCCUUAGGGUUGUAAAACUCUUUCGCUAGGGAAGAUAAUGACUGUACCUAGUAAAGAAGUCCCGGCUAACUCCGUGCCAGCAGCCGCGGUAAUACGGAGGGGACUAGCGUUGUUCGGAAUUACUGGGCGUAAAGAGUUCGUAGGCGGACUGACAAGUUAGAGGUGAAAUCCCAGGGCUCAACCCUGGAACUGCCUUUAAAACUGUCAGUCUAGAGACCGGAAGAGGUUAGGGGAAUACCUAGUGUAGAGGUGAAAUUCGUAGAUAUUAGGUGGAACACCAGUGGCGAAGGCGCCUAACUGGUCCGGUACUGACGCUGAGGAACGAAAGCGUGGGGAGCAAACAGGAUUAGAUACCCUAGUAGUC
rnacentral:rRNA from 1 species